rnacentral:rRNA from 1 species
GGUUAAGCGACUAAGCGUACACGGUGGAUGCCCUGGCAGUCAGAGGCGAUGAAGGACGUGCUAAUCUGCGAUAAGCGUCGGUAAGGUGAUAUGAACCGUUAUAACCGGCGAUUUCCGAAUGGGGAAACCCAGUGUGUUUCGACACACUAUCAUUAACUGAAUCCAUAGGUUAAUGAGGCGAACCGGGGGAACUGAAACAUCUAAGUACCCCGAGGAAAAGAAAUCAACCGAGAUUCCCCCAGUAGCGGCGAGCGAACGGGGAGCAGCCCAGAGCCUGAAUCAGUGUGUGUGUUAGUGGAAGCGUCUGGAAAGGCGCGCGAUACAGGGUGACAGCCCCGUACACAAAAAUGCACAUGCUGUGAGCUCGAUGAGUAGGGCGGGACACGUGGUAUCCUGUCUGAAUAUGGGGGGACCAUCCUCCAAGGCUAAAUACUCCUGACUGACCGAUAGUGAACCAGUACCGUGAGGGAAAGGCGAAAAGAACCCCGGCGAGGGGAGUGAAAAAGAACCUGAAACCGUGUACGUACAAGCAGUGGGAGCACGCUUAGGCGUGUGACUGCGUACCUUUUGUAUAAUGGGUCAGCGACUUAUAUUCUGUAGCAAGGUUAACCGAAUAGGGGAGCCGAAGGGAAACCGAGUCUUAACUGGGCGUUAAGUUGCAGGGUAUAGACCCGAAACCCGGUGAUCUAGCCAUGGGCAGGUUGAAGGUUGGGUAACACUAACUGGAGGACCGAACCGACUAAUGUUGAAAAAUUAGCGGAUGACUUGUGGCUGGGGGUGAAAGGCCAAUCAAACCGGGAGAUAGCUGGUUCUCCCCGAAAGCUAUUUAGGUAGCGCCUCGUGAAUUCAUCUCCGGGGGUAGAGCACUGUUUCGGCAAGGGGGUCAUCCCGACUUACCAACCCGAUGCAAACUGCGAAUACCGGAGAAUGUUAUCACGGGAGACACACGGCGGGUGCUAACGUCCGUCGUGAAGAGGGAAACAACCCAGACCGCCAGCUAAGGUCCCAAAGUCAUGGUUAAGUGGGAAACGAUGUGGGAAGGCCCAGACAGCCAGGAUGUUGGCUUAGAAGCAGCCAUCAUUUAAAGAAAGCGUAAUAGCUCACUGGUCGAGUCGGCCUGCGCGGAAGAUGUAACGGGGCUAAACCAUGCACCGAAGCUGCGGCAGCGACGCUUAUGCGUUGUUGGGUAGGGGAGCGUUCUGUAAGCCUGUGAAGGUGUACUGUGAGGUAUGCUGGAGGUAUCAGAAGUGCGAAUGCUGACAUAAGUAACGAUAAAGCGGGUGAAAAGCCCGCUCGCCGGAAGACCAAGGGUUCCUGUCCAACGUUAAUCGGGGCAGGGUGAGUCGACCCCUAAGGCGAGGCCGAAAGGCGUAGUCGAUGGGAAACAGGUUAAUAUUCCUGUACUUGGUGUUACUGCGAAGGGGGGACGGAGAAGGCUAUGUUGGCCGGGCGACGGUUGUCCCGGUUUAAGCGUGUAGGCUGGUUUUCCAGGCAAAUCCGGAAAAUCAAGGCUGAGGCGUGAUGACGAGGCACUACGGUGCUGAAGCAACAAAUGCCCUGCUUCCAGGAAAAGCCUCUAAGCAUCAGGUAACAUCAAAUCGUACCCCAAACCGACACAGGUGGUCAGGUAGAGAAUACCAAGGCGCUUGAGAGAACUCGGGUGAAGGAACUAGGCAAAAUGGUGCCGUAACUUCGGGAGAAGGCACGCUGAUAUGUAGGUGAAGCGACUUGCUCGUGGAGCUGAAAUCAGUCGAAGAUACCAGCUGGCUGCAACUGUUUAUUAAAAACACAGCACUGUGCAAACACGAAAGUGGACGUAUACGGUGUGACGCCUGCCCGGUGCCGGAAGGUUAAUUGAUGGGGUCAGCGCAAGCGAAGCUCUUGAUCGAAGCCCCGGUAAACGGCGGCCGUAACUAUAACGGUCCUAAGGUAGCGAAAUUCCUUGUCGGGUAAGUUCCGACCUGCACGAAUGGCGUAAUGAUGGCCAGGCUGUCUCCACCCGAGACUCAGUGAAAUUGAACUCGCUGUGAAGAUGCAGUGUACCCGCGGCAAGACGGAAAGACCCCGUGAACCUUUACUAUAGCUUGACACUGAACAUUGAGCCUUGAUGUGUAGGAUAGGUGGGAGGCUUUGAAGUGUGGACGCCAGUCUGCAUGGAGCCGACCUUGAAAUACCACCCUUUAAUGUUUGAUGUUCUAACGUUGACCCGUAAUCCGGGUUGCGGACAGUGUCUGGUGGGUAGUUUGACUGGGGCGGUCUCCUCCUAAAGAGUAACGGAGGAGCACGAAGGUUGGCUAAUCCUGGUCGGACAUCAGGAGGUUAGUGCAAUGGCAUAAGCCAGCUUGACUGCGAGCGUGACGGCGCGAGCAGGUGCGAAAGCAGGUCAUAGUGAUCCGGUGGUUCUGAAUGGAAGGGCCAUCGCUCAACGGAUAAAAGGUACUCCGGGGAUAACAGGCUGAUACCGCCCAAGAGUUCAUAUCGACGGCGGUGUUUGGCACCUCGAUGUCGGCUCAUCACAUCCUGGGGCUGAAGUAGGUCCCAAGGGUAUGGCUGUUCGCCAUUUAAAGUGGUACGCGAGCUGGGUUUAGAACGUCGUGAGACAGUUCGGUCCCUAUCUGCCGUGGGCGCUGGAGAACUGAGGGGGGCUGCUCCUAGUACGAGAGGACCGGAGUGGACGCAUCACUGGUGUUCGGGUUGUCAUGCCAAUGGCACUGCCCGGUAGCUAAAUGCGGAAGAGAUAAGUGCUGAAAGCAUCUAAGCACGAAACUUGCCCCGAGAUGAGUUCUCCCUGACUCCUUGAGAGUCCUGAAGGAACGUUGAAGACGACGACGUUGAUAGGCCGGGUGUGUAAGCGCAGCGAUGCGUUGAGCUAACCGGUACUAAUGAACCGUGAGG